CCUUCGGGUAUUGAGGAUGGCGGACGGGUGAGUAACGCGUAAGGAACUUGCCUCUUGGACUGGGACAACUGUUGGAAACGACAGCUAAUACCGGAUAUUAUGAGAUUCUCGCAUGAGAAACUUAUGAAAGCUAUAUGCGCCAAGAGAGAGCCUUGCGUUCCAUUAGCUAGUUGGUGGGGUAACGGCCCACCAAGGCGACGAUGGAUAGCCGGCCUGAGAGGGUGAACGGCCACAAGGGGACUGAGACACGGCCCUUACUCCUACGGGAGGCAGCAGUGGGGAAUAUUGGACAAUGGACCACAAGUCUGAUCCAGCAAUUCUGUGUGCACGAUGAAGGUCUUCGGAUUGUAAAGUGCUUUCAGUUGGGAAGAAGAAAGUGACGGUACCAACAGAAGAAGCGACGGCUAAAUACGUGCCAGCAGCCGCGGUAAUACGUAUGUCGCAAGCGUUAUCCGGAUUUAUUGGGCGUAAAGCGCGUCUAGGCGGAAAAAUAAGUCUGAUGUUAAAAUGCGGGGCUCAACUCCGUAUUGCGUUGGAAACUGUUUUUCUAGAGUACUGGAGAGGUGGGCGGAACUACAAGUGUAGAGGUGA
rnacentral:rRNA from 1 species